rnacentral:tRNA from 2 species
UGGGGCGUCGCCAAGCGGUAAGGCAGCGGAUUUUGAUUCCGCCAUACGUAGGUUCGAAUCCUGCCGCCCCAGCCA